rnacentral:rRNA from 1 species
AUUGAACGCUGGCGGCAUGCUUUACACAUGCAAGUCGAACGGUAACAGGCCUUCGGGUGCUGACGAGUGGCGAACGGGUGCGUAAUGCAUCGGAACGUACCCAGAGGUGGGGGAUAACGCAGCGAAAGCUGUGCUAAUACCGCAUGUGAUCUGAGGAUGAAAGCGGGGGACCGAGCAGCAAUGUUUGGCCUCGCGCCUUUGGAGCGGCCGAUGUCGGAUUAGCUAGUUGGUGGGGUAAAGGCCUACCAAGGUGACGAUCCGUAGCUGGUCUGAGAGGACGACCAGCCACACUGGGACUGAGACACGGCCCAGACUCCUACGGGAGGCAGCAGUGGGGAAUUUUGGACAAUGGGCGCAAGCCUGAUCCAGCAAUGCCGCGUGCGGGAAGAAGGCCUUCGGGUUGUAAACCGCUUUUGGCAGGAACGAAACGGUGUCCGCUAAUACCGGGCGCUAAUGACGGUACCUGCAGAAUAAGCACCGGCUAACUACGUG